UGAUUUUUAAUUAUUUGUGAACGGUACUACGAACAAAGCAAAAAAUAUUAUAUAGCUCAAAAAAAAAAUAUUAAAAUCAA
rnacentral:misc_RNA from 1 species